CCCUCGGUAUGACAUCACUGCUGGACAAAGCAACAAGGAGUGGUUUCUCUGAAGACAACCGUCCCAAAUCAAUGGAACACACUCACACACUCUGAAAAAAUCCUCCUAUUGCUUUAUCCACCGUCUAAACCAACUGUUAUCGUGUCGACAGCGGUUCUAGUUUUGCUUUGUUCUAAGAGGAACCACUCUGGAAAAUCACAUCGGCUGUGUUGCUCAGCGAAAAGAGUCACCGCCGCUGGAUGGUUACUGUUUUUUUUUAAGUUUCGCCCCCCACUAACAUGCACUGUGUCUGAAGAAGUUGACCUGCGGUUCGAAUCCACGUUGGAAGACCAUGCUGUCCCUCCUGCUUCCUGCAAUGCUGGCCGUCCAAGCUAUGGCUGUGGUGGAAGUGCUUGUCCCAGAGCAGCCAGUGGUGGCGCUGCACGGCAAGGAUGCCAUACUUAGCUGCUCCUUCAACCACACCAGCCCCUUUGACCUGUCUGAUGUGAGCGUCUUCUGGCAGCUGACAGACACCAAACGCAGUGUGCACAUGUACAGGGAGGGACGCGACCAGCUGGUGGACCAGGCUGAGAGAUUUGCCAACCGUACCAGCCUGUUCCCCGCCCAGCUGGGCCUGGGCAACGCUUCGCUUCUGUUGAGCCGGGUGGUGGUGGCUGAUGAAGGCAGCUAUACCUGCUUCGUCAGGGUGAAGGACUACAGCAGUGCUGCUUUGCUGCUGCAGGUGGCCGCCCCCUAUUCCAAGCCUGUAGUGACUUUGGAGCCUGAAUCCAACCUGCGGCCAGGUGAUGAGGUGGCCUUGACUUGUGAGGCCUAUGGCGGUUAUCCUCAAGCUAGUGUGAUAUGGCAAGAUGGGGGCGGGCGCAACUUGACGGACAAUUUCACCACUUCAGUGGUGGCCAAUGAGGAAGGGCUGUUCACUCUGACCAGCAUGCUGACAGUUGUGCUGGAGCCCAACAGCACCUACAGCUGCCGACUGAUCAAUCCACUACUGGGUGAGGAGGGCUACUCCUUUGUCACAAUCACAGGUCAGAACAUCGCGUUCCCCCCAGUGGCUCUGUGGGUAACUGUUGGUCUGGCCGUGUGUUUGCUGGUGCUGCUCAUUGCCCUGGCUGCUGUCUGCCGCAGGAAGAUCAAGGAGAGCUGCGAGGAGGCCAGGAGAGAAGCUGAAGAGGCCAAGGAGCUGGAAGAAGAGGAGUCAAAGACAGCCAUGACACUGCUGAAAAGCUAAGGCCAAGAGAAUAAAGUCUCAGCAGUAAUGCUCUGGAGGACACAGUGUCUCUGGAGGCUAUGGGAGUUGGGGCCAGGCGGCGGGUAAGAGAUGAGUCUGGCGGGUAAUCCCACUCCACCUAUCCAUCAACGUGGAGACUAUUUCCAGCAUCCCCUACAGAAUGUCAAAAGCUUCGCUGAGAAGAUGAGUCCAUCAUCUUCUUUCUAAGACUUUCCCUCGAGUUUCCAUCAAAACACAUAAACACAUCAUGUGCCAUAAUUUUCUAUUGCCCUCCCUCCCUUUACGUCAGUGGAGGGCCAGGACAGUGAGUGAAUGCAGUUGAGUGGGUUGGGUUGUAUGCAGUAUGCAAAAGAGAGGCUGCGUUUGAAAACUACAGGAUGUGACAGGAUCCUCUCUCUGCCGCUGACAUCACUCUGUAUGGCUUGUGAUGGGGCAUGUGCCAGAGAUCUCCUAUCUAAUAGGAAGUGAGACACUUAAAGAGAUGACCCUGCCUCAGUUGCCAUCACUGUCUCUCUGCCAGAGAGGGAGCUUGGCUCUCCCAUUACUCCUGCACUUGCUAAUUAGCGUCUGUCGUGGAGUAACUUGUACCUGUCAGUGUGUGCCGCUCUCCUAUAUUCAGUAACUUGAGGGAAUUGAAAUUGAAUGCCAGCUAAGCUCCAACAAACUGCAAAUGGUGCAUGGGAUACACCCUGUUUUUCUCACUGACCUGACAGCCUUAUAUGUAAGAAAUUGUUUUUAAUGAACAUGGACAAUCUCAGCUACUUUCUACUGCUUGUGUGAAAUGUUGUAUCUUAUCCAGGCUAGGGGCUGUACAGGUUGUUUUAUUUCAUUUUGUUUAGGUACUUGAGCAAGUCCCUGUGCCAUAUGUCCAUGUUCGAAUGCCAAAGCCAUUUGUGUCAGAUAACCCAGUACCUAUCUACAUUAAAGAGACAUGGUGAAA